rnacentral:tRNA from 1 species
UCUUCCGUAGUAUAGUGGUCGGUAAAUGAGCUUCUCAUCCAACCGGAUCUCGCUCGGGACCCGGGCUCAAUCUCCGGCGGGAGAG